UGCUGUCAUUCAUUUUGGAUCUCAGGAGAGCAGGGAUUCUUACCUGAAGUCGGACCUACUGUGCUCUGCAGUUUCCCCUGCCGCAGCUGAUUUAUUAAUAGCCAGAUGUUUGUCCAAAUCAGUAGUUCCUUCUGCUUCGCCGUCUUUA